rnacentral:rRNA from 1 species
GACGAACGCUGGCGGCGUGCUUAACACAUGCAAGUCGUACGGUAAGGCCCUUUCGGGGGUACACGAGUGGCGAACGGGUGAGUAACACGUGAGUAACCUGCCCACAACUUUGGGAUAACGCUAGGAAACUGGUGCUAAUACUGGAUAUGUGCUCCUGCUGCAUGGUGGGGGUUGGAAAGCUCCGGCGGUUGUGGAUGGACUCGCGGCCUAUCAGCUUGUUGGUGGGGUAGUGGCCUACCAAGGCGGCGACGGUAGCCGGCCUGAGAGGGUGACCGGCCACAUUGGGACUGAGAUACGGCCCAGACUCCUACGGGAGGCAGCAGUGGGGAAUAUUGCACAAUGGGCGCAAGCCUGAUGCAGCAACGCCGCGUGCGGGAUGACGGCCUUCGGGUUGUAAACCGCUUUCAGCAGGGACGAAGCUUUUUGUGACGGUACCUGCAGAAGAAGCACCGGCUAACUACGUG